CGCACCUUGCGCCUUUUGGUAUUCCGAAAGGCAUGCCUGUUUCAGUGUCAUGAAAUCUCAAUCUAAUAUGUUUUCUGAACAUGUUAGGCUUGGACAUGGGCGUCUGCCAGCGAUGGCUCGCCUCAAAUGACUUAGUGGAACAUCCCACAUCAGUGUUAGACGUAAUAAGAUUUCGUCUCUCCUUGUGGUGAUGACUGCUCAGAACCUGCCAUCGCGCACCUUUUGACUUUGACCUGAAAUCAGGUAGGGCUACCCGCUGAACUUAA
rnacentral:misc_RNA from 1 species